rnacentral:rRNA from 1 species
GGCGGACGGGUGAGUAAUACUUAGGAAUCUGCCCAUUAGUGGGGGACAACUAGAAGAAAUUCUGGCUAAUACCGUAUACGCCCUACGGGGGAAAGCGGGGGAUCUUCGGACCUCGCGCUAAUGGAUGAGCCUAAGUCGGAUUAGCUUGUUGGUGAGGUAAAGGCUCACCAAGGCGACGAUCCGUAGCUGGUCUGAGAGGACGAUCAGCCACACUGGGACUGAGACACGGCCCAG